AUGGUGGAGGACGAGACAGGUCUCUGCGGCUUUUCUGGCUUUGCCCACCCAGCUGCUCCAUGCCAGGAGAAGGAAGAGCUAUCUGCUGCGUGCUGGAGGCUGGAGCCUGUGGCACCACGGCUCGCCUCGCUGCAGUGGGUGGCAGCGACGGAGACUGCAGAGCACCGGAGAGGUGGGAGUGUGGCUGGCUGCCACCAGGACAGGGACGGGUGCAGAGCUGGCCAGGUGGCAGCCUCUGAGGCGGCCUUGGUCCCUGGGUCCCCCCCCCCCCCGCUGUUUAUGGCAGGCAGAGCUGGGGUUGCCACUGCUUCUGCUGCGCCGUGUGCAGGUGGCAGCUACAGUUGAGCUGUAGGGUGGCAGUGCUGGUUUCCGUUCUGUUCCUUUUUGUCCCUGGUCCAGGGUGCUGGUUGCAGGUGCUGGUUACCCUACAGCCACUGGGAUGGGGCUGGGCGCCGGUACCAGUCCUCCUCCUGCUGCGGGGCCUGAUUUAGGCGCUACAGCAGGGUCUGGCCCUUAGGUCCGCGUUGCUGGAGGAAGCGGGCGGGAUCAGGGGUUGCCACCACGCUGCCGGAUGCCAUCUCUUAAGUGGCAGGUGCAGCAGAAUGUACGGGAGGCUGCAGGGCUGGUCUCAGCUUGGGAGUCGCCCAGGGCACCUCCCCCCACGCUAAGAUCCGUGCUUUCUUGGCCCAAGCCCAGAGUGUGGGGUUGCAGGCUCUAGGCCCACUGCAGCACCCAGGAUGAGUCUGAGCGCCAGUUUCCAUCACCCUGUAGCUGCGCCAUCGACCACCUAAAUUAGGCACCAUGGUGACAUCUGGCCCUGGGAUUCCUGCUGCUGGUGGGGGAGGACAGGGCCAGGGGUUGCCACUGAUACUGACUUGCGCCAUUUCCAGGUUGCAGCUGUGGCUGAGCCCAUGGCAGAUUCUUACGGGGCUGCUCCCCGAGGGCGUGGGGGUCGGGGAGUGUACCGCCAUCCCACCCUAGGGUCCACUUUUCCUUAGGCCUGGCCCAGAGCACAGGUUUGCAGGUGCUGGGCACAGUGCAGCCACAGAGUUGUGACUCAGCGCCUCCUGCCCUCCCGCACCUGCGGGCUGACUGUGGCAGUAUCUGGUCCUGGGUUCCAUGCUACUGAGGUCAAUGUCCAGGGAUGCCACCGCUGCUGCCCCACGGCGUGUGUAGGUUGCUGCGGCAGCUGAUCCCAGAGCAGCGGCUGUCAGAGCUGGUCCCAGAUAGCCUGAAGGUCGCCUAGUGCACCAGCCAAAGGGUCCGUUCUUUCUUGGCCCACACCCAGAGUGAGGAUUGCAGGCUCUGGGCACUGCACCACUGGCAUGGGGAGAUAAGUGGUGGG
rnacentral:lncRNA from 13 species